ensembl:lncRNA novel transcript
CUCCUGGAAGCUUAACUUCUUAUCCAUCCCAUCUCUUGGACAGAUGAUGCCAGUUAAUUACUUUGAAUGCUGGUCUCGAACUCCUGGCUUGAAGUGAUCCUUCUGUCUUGGCCUCCCGAAAUGCUGAGAUUUCAAGCGUGAGUCAUCAUGUCUGGUCUCACAGCUCAGUUUUUAACAUAUGUAUGAAAUAUCAACUGUGUUUGGUUCAAAGGACUUUAUGAUCUUACAGAUAGGAACUAAGGAAUAAUAACGUAAGAAAUAAAAAAUGUGGAAAUAAAAA